rnacentral:rRNA from 1 species
AUGAACGCUAGCUACAGGCUUAACACAUGCAAGUCGAGGGGCAGCAGGAUCUAGCAAUAGAUUGCUGGCGACCGGCGCACGGGUGAGUAACACGUAUCCAACCUGCCGAUAACUCGGGGAUAGCCUUUCGAAAGAAAGAUUAAUACCCGAUGGCAUAAUUAGACCGCAUGGUCUUAUUAUUAAAGAAUUUCGGUUAUCGAUGGGGAUGCGUUCCAUUAGGCAGUUGGUGAGGUAACGGCUCACCAAACCUUCGAUGGAUAGGGGUUCUGAGAGGAAGGUCCCCCACAUUGGAACUGAGACACGGUCCAAACUCCUACGGGAGGCAGCAGUGAGGAAUAUUGGUCAAUGGGCGUAGGCCUGAACCAGCCAAGUAGCGUGAAGGAUGACUGCCCUAUGGGUUGUAAACUUCUUUUAUAUGGGAAUAAAGUUUUCCACGUGUGGAAUUUUGUAUGUACCAUAUGAAUAAGGAUCGGCUAACUCCGUGCCAGCAGCCGCGGUAAUACGGAGGAUCCGAGCGUUAUCCGGAUUUAUUGGGUUUAAAGGGAGCGUAGGUGGACAGUUAAGUCAGUUGUGAAAGUUUGCGGCUCAACCGUAAAAUUGCAGUUGAUACUGGCUGUCUUGAGUACAGUAGAGGUGGGCGGAAUUCGUGGUGUAGCGGUGAAAUGCUUAGAUAUCACGAAGAACUCCGAUUGCGAAGGCAGCUCACUGGACUGCAACUGACACUGAUGCUCGAAAGUGUGGGUAUCAAACAGGAUUAGAUACCCUGGUAGUCCACGCCGUAAACGAUGAAUACUAGGUGUCGGGGCCCAUAAGGGCUUCGGUGCCGCAGCAAACGCAAUAAGUAUUCCACCUGGGGAGUACGUUCGCAAGAAUGAAACUCAAAGGAAUUGACGGGGGCCCGCACAAGCGGUGGAGUAUGUGGUUUAAUUCGAAGCAACGCGAAGAACCUUACCAGGCCUUGACAUGGAUAUAAAUGUUCUAGAGAUAGAAAGAUAGCUAUAUAUCACACAGGUGGUGCAUGGUUGUCGUCAGCUCGUGCCGUGAGGUGUCGGCUUAAGUGCCAUAACGAGCGCAACCCUUAUCUUUAGUUACUAACAGGUCAUGCUGAGGACUCUAGAGAGACUGCCGUCGUAAGAUGUGAGGAAGGUGGGGAUGACGUCAAAUCAGCACGGCCCUUACGUCCGGGGCUACACACGUGUUACAAUGGGGGGUACAGAAGGCAGCUACCUGGUGACAGGAUGCUAAUCCCAAAAGCCUCUCUCAGUUCGGAUCGAAGUCUGCAACCCGACUUCGUGAAGCUGGAUUCGCUAGUAAUCGCGCAUCAGCCAUGGCGCGGUGAAUACGUUCCCGGGCCUUGUACACACCGCCCGUCAAGCCAUGAAAGCCGGGGGUACCUGAAGUACGUAACCGCAAGGAGCGUCCUAGGGUAAAACUGGUAAUUGGGGCU